CCUGGGGGAGGUCAAGAAGCCGGGAGCACUGACCGCACAAGUCCCCGCCCAGGCCUCCGCCCCUCUGAACAGUGCUUCUGUUUAAACACCAAGCGGCAGGCUGGGGCCGUAGCUCUGUGACAGCACACACGCCGGCAUGGGACAUGCCCUCAGUGAAGAGCCAAGCUACAUAGGCACCAGGAGGGAGCAAGCCCCACAGUCCGGGACCAAGUAGUCACACACCCACCACGGAGGAGGCAAACUGGGCCACCAGCACAGCUAUGGAGUUAGCUGUAGAAGACGCCUCCAUGGCUUUUAUUCAAGUCCCACCUUGAGCUCAGUUCCUGCCUGCAGCAGCCUCUGCCACAAUGUCCCCCAUAGUGAGACGCUUGUCACUUUAUGAGGCUGCUUCCCAUAGUAGCUAACGGUUUAGUCUCCAAGAAAUCCUUCUUUCCAUGGUGUCUUCCAGCUCUGCUACCUGCUGGGUGUGCUUCUAUUUCUUCACACUGGCACCUAUGAAAUCUCUCCUCCCACACCCCGCCUGCUACCCAUCACGACUCCUACCUGGCCACUCCCGGGAGGCUGGCAAUGGGCUGGACGUCAUCAGGAACAUCCCUGCAAGAGUGGAGGAGGGCUAUGGACUGGUGGCUGUGGGAAGGGCAGUGGGCUUGAACUGACCUCAAUGGGUUGUUCUAAUGACCGAAGGAGCAGAAGCUGUCGACACCCAGGACAAGCGACUCUCAUUGUUCGCUCCCAGUUCUCCAGCCUGCCAGACGCCUCGCGUUCCGAGACUACCCUUGCGGCCUCGGAGGAAGGAGACGAGUGGAGCCCGGCUUUGCAUCCCCGAGUGCGGACGCAGCAAAGGUUCUGCCCGGGAACCUUUGUGCACUGGGACUGCGUCUCCGCUGGAGCGACAGAGCUUCGGGAGCACAGCACCAUCGGGGUUUGCACCUCGCCUCCUCCAGGAGUCGCCCUCCCAAACCACCACUUCCCAGAGGCCCGGGCCGGCUCACCUACCGAGGACACCGCUCCCGCCGCCCCGAACCGCUGCUCUCCACUCAGCGCUCACCCGCUCUAAAGGCGCCAGCCCACGUGGGGCGGGGCGGCUCGCCCGGAAGCGGCUCUCCUGCCCCCGCCCCCGCGGGAGUGCAGCCCUGGACCCCGGGGCGGCGCGCUCCACCUGCCCCACGCUGGAGGGCUAGAGUCUUGGCCAAUCUGGAGAUUCCGAGGAACCUGAGGGCCCGCCCACCCCUCCCGCCCCUCCGGCUUCCCUUGAGGCGGGCAGUCCUGACCCCAGGGGCUGGGCCUUGGCUUGAGAUUCUGAAUCCACCCCGGAGUUCACUCGUAGGUCUAGUCUAAGCCUCGAGCAAAAACACUGGCUGUUGCUCAUUGGUUUAAAAAAAAAAAAAAAAGAACAAUUGGAUGUCAAGAACAUUAAAACACUACAUAAUGCCUGACACAGCGGACAAAUCCGUUUUGGCGGACUGAGCGCUUUCAAGUUGUUGAGUUCAGCAGCAGACUGACUGCCCAUUUCAGACAAAUUUAUUCCGGUGUAAUUAAUUAUCAAGCCCUUAAUCUGUUAUGGAUUGAGAGAUGUGAAAGAUGUGGACAUUGAAAAAAAAAAGAGAGAGAGAAAACUAACCAAGUGUGAUGGGGGCAUCAAGUUUUAUCUACAAUGGGUACGUUAAAAUCCGACCAAAGCCAACUUGGUGGUAUACACCUUUAAUCCCAGCAUAGGAGGUAGAGUUCCACGCUACCAAAUAGUGAAACGUUGUCUUGACAAACAAAAACAAACCAAACAGCACAAUUAAUUAAAAGAAAAAUUGAGCUGGGUGUCCUGUGGUGAACGAAUUCCAGCACUUGGAGGCAGAGGCAGGUGGAUCUCUGUGAGUUCAAGGCCGGCCAGCAUGGUCUACAAAGCAAGUUCAGGAUGGUCAGGGGUGUUAAACAGAGAAACCCGGCUCAGAAAAACAAAAUGACACAAACAAAAAACAAAUUAACCGAAGUUUGUGGAGGGUCAGAGCAUGGGGUCUCGGGAGGCUGACGGGGUAGAAACCUGACAGACUGUUGGGGUGGUGAGGGCCCAGGUGGAGGGAGGCACUGGGAAGCCAUGGCUUAUUAGGAAGGGGGUGAAGGGAUUAUUUUGAAGGUAGAAGUGGGUAGUUGUGUAAUACUGUAAAAAUCCUAAGCACCACCAAAUCUUCAUUUAAAAAUGACUAAUUUUAUGAUUGUGAAUGUCAUUUUAGUUAUUAAAAAUUCAUUUGAAACUUUGGACUUAAAGUUGGGUGAAGGGUAUAUGAGAACUGCACUCCUUGUAGUUUUUCUGUAAAUUUAAAAUUAUCCCAACCAUUUACAAAGUUUACUAAAAUAAAAAGGCCAAAGGUCACUAGAUCAUAAUCUCAGCAAUCAUAAAUUAGCUAUAAGACUCUAUAAAUAAUUUCUCUCAAAAGAGCCUCAACUUCCCAUAAGUAAAAAUGGGGGCUAGGGCACAAAAAGCAUCUUUUAAAAGAUUUAUUUUUAUGUCUGAAUGUCUUGCCAGCAUGCAUGGCUAUGUACCAUGUCUGUACUGACAGGAGGCCAGAAGAGGGCACACGGGAUCCGCUUGAACUGUAGUUACAGUUGUUUGUUGCCAUGUGGGUCCUCUGGAAGAGUCAUUGCUAUUAACUGCUGAGACAUCUCUUCAGACCCUCAGUAGCUUUAAAUGAGCUAGAACAAGAGCUCUUCCACUGCCCAGACCAGGUCAGUCUCCGAGCACUCUGCUUUAAGAGAAACUUACCUUAGCCCGCUUUGAACCUUCAACUCCAGAUGCCAUUAUGGGGUGGUGUAGUUGUCACUGAGAAAAAGCUGAAGGAUGAACUUAAGAUUCUUCCUGGAUGUUGAAUUCUUUUAAAAUCAAAAUCUCCUCUCCUAGAAAGGUUUCUCUUAGACAUUUGAACGUGCUCAGGCAAGGAUGCUGUCACUGAGCCCUUUCCAUGUUUGACUGGCACAGGAGCAGCCUUAUGGUGGAGAUUAGAUGGCAGGGUGAGCCCCUCUUACUCAGGCCUUGAAUAGCAGGCUUAACUAUGGCUUUUUAUCUCAGAAAACAAAGCUAUGUUCCAGGAAGAUCCAUUUGCUAAGAAAUGCACAUGUGACACUGAGCUCAAAGGAAGUCACGGGAAUCCAUGGUACUUGAAUGCUAGGUCUAGCAUGGUGCCAAUGGGAAUUAAGAAAGGGUACUGAAUGACCCUUGGGGUUCUUUGUGAAAUCUGAUUUAUAAACUUAAGAACGAUGUCUGCUAGAGAAUAAAUAUAGAGCUGUGGUUAGGAGCUAACAGAGGCAACAGCAGUGCUGCUUGAUAGGAGGUAAGAAUUAACACCUGAAAACACUUAGAACAUCGCUAGACACAGGAAGAGCUUAACAAGUGGGAGCCAGUGAGGCAUACAGAGUAACCAAGAGAAUUUCGGGAAAUGUUGGCUGUGGUUAAGAGCAGUGCCCUUAGCUGUGAAUGCUCACUCACCUGCUGGUGAUCCAAGGAGACACAGAUUGAGUGUGUGUGUGUGUGAGAGAGACAGAGUUUUUUCCAAAAGUACUGUAUUAACCAAUACUUUAAACAAGAAUGUUCUUUAUUUGUAUAAAGCAUUAAAAUCUUCUCAACAGUCUCAUCACUUUUAAUAAACUCUUCAUUGUAUUCUCUCAAUAGCUAACAGUGUCCAACUAUAUUACAUUACUUUUCAACCUCAAGUGCUCAACUAAGACAAAAAAAAAAAAAGGUGCUUAGAGCACUAAGUGGGAGAAAGGAAAGGCCAACAGACACUUCCAAAGC